CGCCCAUCUCGGCCUCCCAAAGUGCUGGGAUUACAGGCUUGAGCCACCGCGCCCGGCCUUGCAUUGACAUUUUCUUACCCAGUACCUGUUA
rnacentral:pre_miRNA from 1 species